AUACGGAGGGUGCAAGCGUUAAUCGGAAUUACGGGGCGUAAAGCGCGCGUAGGCGGUCAGGUCAGUCGGAUGUGAAAGCCCCGGGCCCAACCUGGGAACUGCAUUCGAUACUGCCUGACUAGAGUAUGGUAGAGGGAAGUGGAAUUUCCGGUGUAGCGGUGAAAUGCGUAGAUAUCGGAAGGAACACCAGUGGCGAAGGCGGCUUCCUGGACCAAUACUGACGCUGAGGUGCGAAAGCGUGGGGAGCAAACAGGAUUAGAAACCCUAGUAGUCC
rnacentral:rRNA from 1 species